rnacentral:rRNA from 1 species
UACGGGGGGAGCAAGCGUUGUUCGGAUUUACUGGGCGUAAAGGGCGCGUAGGCGGCCACCGCAAGUCGGUUGUGAAAUCUCCGGGCUUAACCCGGAAAGGUCAAUCGAUACUGCGGGGCUAGAGUGCAGAAGGGGCAACUGGAAUUCUCGGUGUAGCGGUGAAAUGCGUAGAUAUCUGGAGGAACAUCAGUGGCGAAGGCGACACCCUGGACUCAUACUGACACUGAGGUGCGAAAGCGUGGGGAGCAAACAGG